GCCCCCGUAGCUCAGCUGGAUAGAGCGUCCCCCUCCUAAGGGGAAGGUCUCAGGUUCGAAUCCUGACGGGGGCACCA
rnacentral:tRNA from 1 species